rnacentral:rRNA from 1 species
CACGUAGUUAGCCGUGGCUUAUUCCUAUAGUACCGUCACUUCUUCGUCCUAUAGAAAAGAAGUUUACAACCCGAAGGCCUUCUUCCUUCACGCGGCGUUGCUGGGUCAGGCUUGCGCCCAUUGCCCAAUAUUCCCCACUGCUGCCUCCCGUAGGAGUCUGGGCCGUGUCUCAGUCCCAAUGUGGCCGGCCAACCUCUCAGUCCGGCUACUGAUCGUCGCCUUGGUGGGCCGUUACCCCGCCAACCAGCUAAUCAGACGCGAGUCCAUCUCAGAGCGAUAAAUCUUUGAUGUCCAGAACCAUGCGAUUCAGACAUUUCAUGCGGUAUUAGCACAUCUUUCGAUGUGUUAUUCCCCUCUCCAAGGCAGGUUACUCACGCGUUACUCACCCGUCCGCCACUUUCCUCCAGUUCCGUUGGCCGAAGCCUCCUUCCCCGGAUUCUCGUUCGACUUGCAUGUGUUAAGCACGCCGCCAGCGUUCAUCCUGAGCCAGGAUCAAACUCU